CCCUUAGAUGUUCCGGGCUGCACGCGUGCUACAAUGGCGUUUCCAGCAAGUCUGCGAACCCGAGAGGGCCAGCGGAUCUUCGAAUUGGCGUCGUGAUCGGGACAGUCGAUUGCAAUUAUUUGACUCAAACGAGGAAUUCCUUGUAAUCGCGAUUCAUCAUAUCGCGCUGAAUACGUCCCUGCCCUUUGUACACACCGCCCGUCGCUCCUACCGAUUGAGCGAUCCGGUAAAUGUUUUGGAUUGGUGCCGGGGCGGCUAGCUGCCGGUCGCUACGAAAUUUUGUGAACCUUAUCGCUUAGAGGAAGGAAAAGUCGUAACA
rnacentral:rRNA from 1 species